rnacentral:tRNA from 2 species
GGGCCUGUAGCUCAGUGGUAGAGCGGUCGGCUCAUAACCGAUUGGUCGCAGGUUCGAUCCCUGCCGGGCCCACCA